rnacentral:lncRNA from 1 species
GAGGGAAAUACCAAAGUGCAAUUGCUGCAGAGGGCAAUCAGAUAAUGCUGGUUGCUAAUUGCCACUGCCGGGGAAGCCUCAUUAUGCUCCAGUCUGGGUGAAGCAAGUUUUAGUCGCUGAAGCUCCGCCACUAACAUGGCACCAACCUUUUCUCCCUCUUCCCCAAAAGGCUGUCAUUUCAGUCAGCGUCGUAUGCCAUGCUCAGUAUUUAUAUUUAUAUAAAAUUUAUGUAUAUAUAUCUAUAGCCAGGCAGCUGUAAGCAGCCUGAGUGAUGUAGCUGGGUGAGAUGCACCCGAGGGGCCACGCAAACAGUGGCUGUUUGCCAGAAGAUCAAUAUGUGGCCACCUAAAGAUGCCACAAGCCAUCUUGCUCGACAUCCCUGGGGCAGGACUGUGCUCCCUCCCCACUUUAUUCUCCGAAAUCCUCCCUGGACCAGCUGCGUCCCCCGGGGGGACCGGGAUGCUCUACGUGCUCAGCUCCCCUGGGACCAGAUGGGAUGGGCAGCAGAAGAAAAGCAGAGCUACCCUCUCAAGGUAUUUUAGCAAAUUUGGAAUAGUCAAGUGGUAGCCGUGUCGAGGGCUGGGGGGGUUUUGAGCCAGAACUUGCCAUAUUGAAGCACCAUUUCCUCUACCAUCACUUCCUUACCUCUGUCCACCUUUGCAGCACAGAUGUGUUAAAAAUGGUGAUGAGAGCAGCUGGCCAGAGUCUUAGUUUUUCCCACUUUUCUGAAAACUGCAGGGGAUUUUUCCUUUCCAUUCAGUAGGAUUAGAUGCAGGAACAUUAUACAAUUUUUUUCCCCCCCACUGCUCUGAGAUAAAAAGUCACUCCUUCCUAGCUUUAAAACGAUACAAAUUGAACGAGUUAGUUUUGUUUUGGUUUUUUUUUUUUAAGGGGAAAAAAAAAAAAAAAGGAAAAAAAAAAAGAGGCCACGAGCUGCUUGCUUUUUGGUCUUUCAGUGUGGUGACACCAAAGUGACGUCGGAAGGAGGAAGCGCCCCGGAGCCGGAGCAGCAGCGGCCGAUCCCGCGCUGCUGCUGGUGUAUCUUCACCCCCUUAUCUCCCAGCUUCACCCAUCUUGUGGGCUGGCUUCCUACUGGAGCAGAGGAGCUGGGGUCUUCUCCUGGGGCUCCAGAAGGGCUCUGGGAAUAGCUGCGUCCACGGUGCGGUGGGGGAGGAUUUCAUCCCACCCCAUGGAUUUAAUGCUCCGGCACGGCGUUGUCACCUCAAUUCUGGGGACUUCCCAGUGAAUUUGGUUCAGACCCAGCAACCUUCACUGCCCAAACUGGCCCAGGGAUGUUUGGUUACCGGGAGAACCCAAAGAUUUGGAAACAGGUGUCUUCCGAAGCGGCUUUUCAGUGCAAAUUCCAAGGAAACACCGGCCGUUUGCAGACGGAUCUGCCGGGAGAGAUGCCAGGGGUGA